UGGGGAAUAUUGCACAAUGGGGGAAACCCUGAUGCAGCAACGCCGCGUGAAGGAAGAAGUAUUUCGGUAUGUAAAGUUCUGUCAGUGGGGACGAAAUAUGACUGUACCCACAAAGGAAGCACCGGCUAACUCCGUGCCAGCAGCCGCGGUAAUACGGGGGGUGCAAGCGUUGUCCGGAAUCAUUGGGCGUAAAGCGUUCGUAGGCGGUAUGUCAAGUCUGGUGUUAAAGCCCGAGGCUCAACCUCGGUUCGGCAUUGGAUACUGGCAAACUAGAAUGUGGUAGAGGUAAAGGGAAUUCCUGGUGUAGCGGUGAAAUGCGUAGAUAUCAGGAGGAACAUCGGUGGCGAAAGCGCUUUACUGGACCAUUAUUGACGCUGAGGAACGAAAGCCAGGGGAGCAAAUG
rnacentral:rRNA from 1 species